rnacentral:lncRNA from 1 species
UCUGAGCAAGAUCCCUGGGUUCAAAUCUGAUCUUUCAUCUUGUGAAAAAUACAGAUUCCUGGGCUUCACUCCAGAUCAACUGAAUCUGUUUCCCAGGGUCAUUGUGCAUUUUUGUUGACUAUUGAUUCUCCCCUUCAUUCAACAACUGUACUGAGGCCAGAUCCCAAACUGAGCUCUGACGAGAUGGAGAAGCAAAGGACACGGUUCCUGCCCCCAAGGAGCUCCCAGACAAGCAGGAGAGAAGGUGGCUCCCAGACAAGCAGGAGAGAAG